CAAGACAAAACAACUACAAUGAACAACAUCAUCAUCCUCAUCUGGACACUCACACUGUUUGCUCGAGAGUGUAGAGGACAGAUCACUGUAACUCAGAGUCCAUCAUUAAUAACAGCAGCUCAAGGACAAGAAGCCAGAAUAAACUGUAAAACCAGCAGCAGAGUGUAUGGUGGUGAUGAGUUACACUGGUACUUACAGAAACCUGGAGAAGCUCCUAAACUCCUCAUAUAUGCUGCAUCAAACCGUUACACUGGAACUCCAUCUAGAUUCAGUGGCAGUGGAUCUGACAGUGAUUUCACUCUCACCAUCAGUGGAGUCCAGACUGAAGAUACAGGAGAUUACUACUGUCAGAGUGUACACAGCAGUGGUAGCUAUGUGUUCACACAGUGAUAAAGAGUCGUACAAAAACCUCCGUCAGUCAGAGUCACAGUGACUGCACUGAUACAGCUGAGAGAUACUGCAGCAGCUGAUGGAUGUGAAUCAUCUCAAUCACUCUUAGAUCAUUAUAUUAUAAUGCAGUACAAUACAAUAUAUUACAAUAAAUUACACAUUGAUCUGAUAAUGAAUUAAAUCUGUACUGGUUAGGUUAAUCGCUAUGAUGGCUGAACUAAAAAGGCUUAACUCUCAACAUCUCAAAAAACCAUCCACUGUCCACAGCAUUGCAGUCAAAAACUGAAUUAACCUUUGUUAUAUUUUAAAAUAAAAUACUGUAACACUUUUAAGGACCAAUUCUCACUAUUAAUUAGCAUGCAUGUUACCAUUGUCUCUUCAUUAGUACUUAUAAAGCACAUUUUAAUGCCUUAUUCUGCAUGACCAUAUUACAUCCUUGCAUCCUACCCCAUAACUAUUAAUAAACAGCAAAUUAAGAGUUUAUUCAGGCAAAUGUCAUAUUUAAUAGUUGGUUUAAUACUUAAAAUAAAGUUUUCUCUGGUUUGUACAAAGUUAAUUUUGACCUGUGUUGUGGUUAGUUUAAUCACUAUAGAGGCUGAACAAAAUAUAGUCUUGAUGCUGAACAUCCCAAAAUAUCAUCCAUUGUCCACAGAGUUGCAGUCAAAAACUGAAUUAACUGAAUUAUUAUAUUUAAAAAUUAAAAUACAAAGAAUCAAACCAUGUAGAUGGUGUCUGUGCAGCAGCACGUCAGGCUGUG